AGCAUCCUGAUUUUUAGGAAAUUUUGGACUGUAGAAUCCUGUAUUAUAUGAGAUUUUUAUUUAUAACAGUGGCUAUAAUUAUAUAUUAUAGAUUUUGUGUUUAUUACAUGGAACCUUCAAAUACUUGAAAGUGGAGUCUUUGUAACUACUUUUUUUCUUUUGUAGGUUCUCUUUUGAAUUUGGCCAAGCAUGCAGCUUCUACAGUUCAGAUUCUUGGAGCAGAAAAGGCACUUUUCAGAGCCCUCAAGUCUAGACGGGAUACCCCUAAGUAUGGUCUCAUUUAUCAUGCUUCACUUGUAGGCCAGACAAGUCCCAAACACAAAGGAAAGAUUUCUCGAAUGCUGGCAGCAAAAACUGUUUUGGCUAUUCGUUAUGAUGCUUUUGGUGAGGAUUCCAGUUCUGCAAUGGGAGUUGAGAACAGAGCCAAAUUAGAGGCCAGGUUGAGAACCUUGGAAGAUAGAGGGAUACGGAAAAUAAGCGGAACAGGAAAGGCAUUAGCGAAAACAGAAAAAUAUGAACACAAAAGGUGAGUA